rnacentral:lncRNA from 1 species
GAAGGAUAUAGAUGGUAAAAAGCCUUUUUAUGUUAAAUCACAGUUAUUAUGUAAAGAACGCACUGAAGUUUCAGCGACAUGUCUAUGUGCCCCAGUUACAACGCACGGGCAAUUAGUACUUACUAGUAAGAAACAAAAUACGGACGAUACACGGUUUGCUUCCAGAGCCCGGGACAAACACAAUCCUAGCCUGGCGUUUUUAUUUCACCACAAGAGAAGAGAUCCACUCGAGCACAACACAAUCCGGCUACAAAUACCUCAGUCUAGUGCUAGCAACGGCAGCAGGCAGCACAGCGGCCGGCCGUGCAGCGCUGUAGGUGCAGGCUACUCGAACUUGUAGUGCUUGUCGACGGCCUCGGCGACGUCCCAGGUGCAGCUCAUGCCCUUGGGGAACACCACCAGGUCCCCCGCCGCGAUCUCCACGAACCCCUCCUCGCCGUCCGGGUACACCUUCACCUUCCCCUGCAGCAGGUAGCACGUCUCCUUGGCCGAGUAGGUCCACGGGAACUUGCUCUUCUCGCACCCCCAC